GAGAGAGAGAGAGGGAGAGCCUGUGGCAUGUCGAACUGUCGGGAAGAACAGUUCCAGCCUUAUCCAGUCUUAUAACUCAAGGUUUCCAGUCCUGAUAACAUCCUUGUCAAGCUUUCCUGCACCCUUUCCAGUUUAAUGACAUUCUUCCUACAGCUGGGAUGGUGCGAUUAGAAGAGACUGGGGCAGCCUAACAUCCUUCAACCAAAGAAGAAAAUCUGCAGGGAAAACACGGGGAGGUAGAUUUAUGGGAAAGGCAAUGUGGAGAGGAGACAAUAUGGAAUUUCUUCCAAUUUUAUCUAGACGUUCCUAUCUUGCUUCUAUCUUGAAUGGAGGUCAUUUUCACUCUGCUUUACAUUCUCCUUUUCAGUGCCAGAAAAUGUGUAGGUAUCCCUACCACUUCUGGAAGAGAACCUCUUCCUUAUCUAUUUGACAGUUUUUCUUUUAUUUGUGGAAUAUUCCAAAUACAAAUUUAAUGCCAUUUAGAGAAGUAAUACUUCCAAUAUUGGAAAUUAUGGAGAAAAUUAUAUAACUGAAACUGUAGGCUUGCAGAAUCCUGAAAAAGAG